rnacentral:rRNA from 1 species
GUACACGCUGUGACUAGCAUAUCAAUAAGCGGAGGAAAAGAAACUAACAAGGAUUCCCCUAGUAACGGCGAGUGAAGCGGGAAGAGCUCAAAUUUGAAAUCUUAAAGGGUUUCCCUUUACGAAUUGUAGUUUAAAGAAGUGUUUUCUGUUGAGGUUUUGGUAAAAGUUCUUUGGAAUAGGACAUCAUAGAGGGUGAGAAUCCCGUAUUUGACCUUUACUUUCAACUUUGUGAUACACUUUCAAAGAGUCGGAUUGUUUGGGAAUGCAGUCCAAAAUGGGUGGUAAAUUUCAUCUAAAGCUAAAUAUUGGCGAGAGACCGAUAGCGAACAAGUACCGUGAGGGGAAGAUGAAAAGAACUUUGAAAAGAGAGUUAAACAGUACGUGAAAUUGUCAAAAGGGAAGCGUUUGACACCAGUGUUGUUUUUCUGAAAAUCAAUUAAAGAACUGUUUAUGCUAAGUUGUUUAGACUUUAUCAGCUAACUGUUUAGUUUUGAGCUUUUCUUUAAUGCACUUUUCAGUUAACAAGUCAACAUCAAUUUCUUUUGCUGUAAAAAAGCUUGAGGAAGGUGGCUUGAGAUUCGUCUUAAGUGUUUAUAGCCUCUUGCCUAUGCAGUCGGAGAGAUUGAGGUCUGCAGCGUAGAUCCUUCGGGGCUAAAUGCAUUUGUGCUAAGUUAUAGCAUUUUAUAGACAACUUGUUGACUAUGAUUUGUCUUGUAGCUUACUCGCUUAUGUUAUUUUACCUACGCUUAGGAUGUUGAGUCGUAGAGCACGCAG